UUAAAAAGCUCGUAGUUGAACCUUGGGCCUGGCUGGCCGGUCCGCCUCACCGCGUGCACUGGUUCGGCCGGGCCUUUCCCUCUGGGGAACCUCAUGCCCUUCACUGGGUGUGAUGGGGAUCCAGGACUUUUACUGUGAAAAAAUUAGAGUGUUCAAAGCAGGCCUAUGCUCGAAUACAUUAGCAUGGAAUAAUAGAAUAGGACGUGUGGUUCUAUUUUGUUGGUUUCUAGGACCGCCGUAAUGAUUAAUAGGGACAGUCGGGGG
rnacentral:rRNA from 1 species